CCCUACGGGGGGCAGCAGUGGGGAAUAUUGCACAAUGGGCGAAAGCCUGAUGCAGCAACGCCGCGUGAGCGAUGAAGGCCUUCGGGUCGUAAAGCUCUGUCCUCAAGGAAGAUAAUGACGGUACUUGAGGAGGAAGCCCCGGCUAACUACGUGCCAGCAGCCGCGGUAAUACGUAGGGGGCUAGCGUUAUCCGGAAUUACUGGGCGUAAAGGGUGCGUAGGUGGUUUCCUAAGUCUGAUGUGAAAGCCUUCGGCUUAACCGGAGUAGUGCAUUGGAAACUGGGAGACUUGAGUGCAGAAGAGGAU
rnacentral:rRNA from 1 species